CGUAAACGUAAACGCAAACGAACGAGAAACAGAAAAAAAAAAAACGAGGAACCAAAUAAAUCAAACCGAGGCAGACAAGCGCACACGCACUCCCCCAAAAUGCCGGUCUUCGUCCUUUGGAUUUUGUGUAAGCACUUCGUCGCUGUUUGCUCAAGUGGCUCGCGUGUUAAUUGUCGGGGAAUGUGCAUAACACGGCGAUAACAAUGAGCUGCCAUCCAGUCAGCCAGUCGAAGGAGCUCCCUCCCCUUCCCAAGCUGAGCACCUCCAGCCAGCACCCCAGCGCCCCAACUCCCCAGGUGGCCAAUUCGAACCUAACGUGCCCGGUGACAAUUCAAAAUUAACUGUCCAAGUGCUGGAGCGGCGCUGGAAAAGCAGCGCAUAAUCAAAUGGGCCAGGGAACGCAUAAAUAAGCUCGAAAAGCCGCCAGGAAAGGCGAAGCAACGGAAGUGCGACUUCGCCACGCAGCUCUUAAAAAAAAGUUACAUUUUUUAACUGAAUCUGUUAACGGUGAUCGAUAGCGUUGGCUUUUUAUUUUAAACAUUUUUCCAACAGGUUAAUUUAUUUCAUGUUGAAGAUUGAAAUUUUGUUCUUUUAGUGGGAAAGUUUGUGAAAAAUAAACCUUUUAAAUGAUAUCCUUUA